rnacentral:lncRNA from 1 species
AGCGGAAGAGGAGCAUCAGCAGCACGGGCAGAGGAGCAGCAGCAACUAGUUCUUCACGUACAAUGGAAAAGAAGCAAGCUUAUAUCUGAAAAAAUGAGUUAGCUAGGAUCAGAAUUUUGAGUUGGCCCCUUUACAUAAGUUUUAGAUAAAGUUUCGAGGUUUCUUCAGAGUAUUUAUUUGUAUCAUUUGGAUGUACGGUUUGAGAGCAGCUAUCAGUUUAGUUUGCUGUCCCGAAAUAUAUGUUCCUGGGUACAGUAUUUUGAUAUGGGAGAUUAGGCCCUGUUAGAGGUGGUAUUAAAAUAAAGUUACAACAUGAAAAUUUUAGAGGCGGUUCUGUAGAUACUUAAAACACAUAUCACUUGUCAGGUUUCGUUCGGUAUAUUAAAUCCUAUGAAAUUAUCAAAGUGGGUUGUACUGUGUUGGACAGAAUUUUAUGUUUGGACUUGGGUGAAUGUAACCAGACUUAUACUCUCAGAUUUUGUCAUAGUUGAUGGUGUGAGGACUUAUAAUGUGAUAAAGUAUAUACGUUGUUGCAACACCUAUAUAAUGUGAUAAAGUAUAUACAUUGUCAUCUAAGUUGAGCUGAUUUUGAUUUACG